CAGUUAAGAACAAAUUCUUAUUUUCAAUGAUGAGAAUCUUAAUCUUAUUUUCAAUGAUGUCCUAGGAACAGUGGGUUAACUGCCUGUUAAGGGGCAGAACGAGAGAAUUUGUACCUUGUCAGCUCGGGGAUUUGAACUUGCAACCUUCCGGUAACUAGUUGAACACUCUAACCACUAGGCUACCCUGCCGCCCCAAAGUCUUGAACAUUAUACAAACUUUUCAUUUGCUUCCUUAAAAUCAUUUGUUUCACUGUAGCCAGACUGACCUGAAUAUAUUUUAUGUAUGUAAUGUACGUCAUACACUCACUAAGGUCUGAAGAAGUGAGGUUGAAAGAUCGAAAAAGGAGGCAAAACCAAAACACAGGUAGGAGGUAUCAUAUGAUGAGUGGUAUAGUCUUAAACCAAUGUUUAAAGACUUAACCCCCCCUCCAAUAUAUUUCAGGAUGAUGUAUAUGACUCUCCCCCAAGAAGUCACAGCAUGUCACAUCAGCCUCCAGCUCUGCAGGACCAGACAAUACUGAAAACAAAAUGCACGGCGAACUGGGAGCUGUGAACUGUGAAGCAGCAAGGUGGUGCGAACGCCAAACAUUUAAAGGCACCAUUUCCCUCCCUAGUGUAACUGGGAUGGAGGGGGAAGACCGUAUUACAACCCUUAAAGAACUACGGUUGUAUGAUGGCCUGGAUGAGGAGGAAAAUAUUCUCCUUAAGAAACCAUUCAUGUUCUCAUUCCAGUUACAGAGAGAUUAUUAGAUGUUCUAUGUGGAGGCAGUUGACAACAAGAAAAUUACUGCCUUUGUCUCUUUUGAGGAGCGGGAGUGAAGCAAUUUUUGAGGAGUGGUCAAACUUUGUUUUUGUCUGCUGUGUUAAUUGUUUCAUUUGUUAAUUGUGUUAUGUUGUUUAGUAAAGAUGACUUACAAGUCA